UGGUCGAACGUCGGUAACCCCUGCCAACAUAACCCCGACCAACAGCUGUACUACCCCCACCCCCACGACGCCGACAAGUUCAUCCAGUGUACCAAGGAUGGGGAGAUGUACAUCAUCCAGUGCCCCGCGGGCAAGGAGUACAACCCCUCAGUCACCCAGUGUGCCCACCCCGUGACCACCACGGCGCCUCUACCAGCGGUGACGAAUCCUUGCACACAAGACGUUGUAGCCGCCAAAAAGAUCUUCUUCCCUUACCCCAACGACCCGUCCCGCUUUAUGAUGUGUGAGGGGGUCAUGCAGGUUAACAUCAUGACCUGCCCCUCUCCCCUGGUGUGGGACCAGGGUCGGGAGUCCUGUGUUUACACCGUCCUCACCGGAAGUCAGCCCUCACCCAAUGUCGUCACCACCGUGGCUCCAGACUAUUCUCGUCAGAAAUGCCCCAAUACAACACUGCCUACAGACGAAAUCUACUUCCCCCACCCCGACGCCUCAAAGUUCAUCCAGUGUGCUGCGGGGGGCACGGCCUACGUGCUGAACUGUCCCGAGGGUACGAUAUGGAGAGAGAGCGCGAAGAAGUGCCUGUCUCCGUUCGCUAGCCCAGACCUGCCACCCACGUUCUAGAGGGACGAGGAUGAAGACGAGGGGUGAUCUCAAUGUAUAUAUACUGCCUUAGUGAAUAAAAACUACAGAAACUUG
rnacentral:misc_RNA from 1 species